rnacentral:rRNA from 1 species
CAGCCGCCGCGGUAAUACGUAGGUGGCAAGCGUUGUCCGGAAUUAUUGGGCGUAAAGGGCUCGCAGGCGGUUUCUUAAGUCUGAUGUGAAAGCCCCCGGCUCAACCGGGGAGGGUCAUUGGAGACUGGGAAACUUGAGUGCAGAAGAGGAGAGUGGAAUUCCACGUGUAGCGGUGAAAUGCGUAGAGAUGUGGAGGAACACCAGUGGCGAAGGCGACUCUCUGGUCUGUAACUGACGUUGAGGAGCGAAAGCGUGGGGAGCGAACAGGAUUAGAUACCCCUGUAGUCCCUGUCUCUUAUAC